ACGGAGGAUGCGAGCGUUAUCCGGAUUUAUUGGGUUUAAAGGGUGCGUAGGCGGAUUUGUAAGUCAGUGGUGAAAGACUGUCGCUUAACGAUAGCAUUGCCAUUGAUACUGCAGAUCUUGAGUAUAAUUGAGGUGGGCGGAAUGUGUAGUGUAGCGGUGAAAUGCUUAGAUAUUACACAGAACACCGAUUGCGAAGGCAGCUCACUAAACUAUAACUGACGCUGAGGCACGAAAGCGUGGGGAUCAAACA
rnacentral:rRNA from 1 species